rnacentral:rRNA from 1 species
AGAGUUUGAUCCUGGCUCAGGAUGAACGCUGGCGGCGUGCUUAACACAUGCAAGUCGAACGGGAAUUACUUUAUUGAAACUUCGGUCGAUUUAAUUUAAUUCUAGUGGCGGACGGGUGAGUAACGCGUGGGUAACCUGCCUUAUACAGGGGGAUAACAGUCAGAAAUGGCUGCUAAUACCGCAUAAGCGCACAGAGCUGCAUGGCUCGGUGUGAAAAACUCCGGUGGUAUAAGAUGGACCCGCGUUGGAUUAGCUUGUUGGUGGGGUAACGGCCCACCAAGGCGACGAUCCAUAGCCGGCCUGAGAGGGUGAACGGCCACAUUGGGACUGAGACACGGCUCAGACUCCUACGGGAGGCAGCAGUGGGGAAUAUUGCACAAUGGGGGAAACCCUGAUGCAGCGACGCCGCGUGAAGGAAGAAGUAUCUCGGUAUGUAAACUUCUAUCAGCAGGGAAGAUAGUGACGGUACCUGACUAAGAAGCCCCGGCUAACUACGUGCCAGCAGCCGCGGU